UUUAUCAAAAAAGAAGUUUAGUUUGUAAUUUCGUACUUUAUUUGAAACAUAUAUCAUUUGCAUAAAGACUCUGAAUUGGUUGAGACACAAGUCAAAUACAAGUUUUUAUAUAAAAAAGAAGAUUUGAUAUGAUGGCCAAUGAGACAAGUUAACUCUCCACAAGUGACCAAAUGACACAAAAUUGUACGACUAUAGGUCACCGUAAUAAGGACUUUGAUAAUUAACAAAGCCCACACAGCAAAGUGGCCUAUUAUAUAAAAUGCCCAAGUAAAAAAAUCAACGUGAAAACUAACGGCAUUGACUUUUCCAUUUAACUUAUGUAUACCAAUGAAACGAAUAAUAGCAUGCACACAUUACAAUUUUUAUAAAUUAGAAUGAAAAAAGUAAGUGGUGAUAAAAAAAAUUAAAGAAUAAAAAAAAAUACCCA
rnacentral:lncRNA from 1 species